rnacentral:rRNA from 1 species
AUGGCACAUCUACAAUGUCUGCACGUUGGCAUUUUUCUCGUAUAUGGACCACUUGAUUUUACACCCAAUCGCGAUUGCCUGAGGAUCUUGGGGGACUUCAAGGUCAUGCACAGUCUAACCCUCCUACUGCUCUAUAAUCCGGAUAUAGGUAACUAUCGAUACUUGAUGCAUGACAUGACAAGGCUCCCUGACGUCACAUGCUUGUCCCUGACUGUGAUGUCAAACGGACAUUGCUUUGGUGCCAGCUCAUUCCACAUUCUCGGACUGUGUACUGGUGUAAGAAAGUUGGCACUUAACUACUUUGAGGCGCAGACUCCAUGCCCAUCGAGUUGCAUUUGUGAUCAGCCAACACACUGGAAAAGUGAGAAACUUGUGCUCGAUCGCCUCCAAGAAGUAGAAAUUAGUGAACUAUCAGGAACUGAACAUGAACGUAAUUUUGUGCAACGGUUAUUCAGUUGGGCAACGGCCUUAAAAAAGAUGACAGUAUCUUUUCAUCACUCAAUUACGGAAAGCAAGGCCAAGGGGUUGUGCCAGAUGUUACGAAGCUUCUCCACAUCGGAACUAUAUAUGGAAUUUUAUGUGCACCGCUGUUUGGUGGGGAAAGUUCUGUAUGUUCCUGAAGAUUAA